rnacentral:rRNA from 1 species
AGGCUUAACACAUGCAAGUCGAGCGCCCCGCAAGGGGAGCGGCAGACGGGUGAGUAACGCGUGGGAACGUACCCUUUACUACGGAAUAACGCAGGGAAACUUGUGCUAAUACCGUAUGUGCCCUUUGGGGGAAAGAUUUAUCGGUAAAGGAUCGGCCCGCGUUGGAUUAGCUAGUUGGUGGGGUAAAGGCCUACCAAGGCGACGAUCCAUAGCUGGUCUGAGAGGAUGAUCAGCCACAUUGGGACUGAGACACGGCCCAAACUCCUACGGGAGGCAGCAGUGGGGAAUAUUGGACAAUGGGCGCAAGCCUGAUCCAGCCAUGCCGCGUGAGUGAUGAAGGCCCUAGGGUUGUAAAGCUCUUUCACCGGAGAAGAUAAUGACGGUAUCCGGAGAAGAAGCCCCGGCUAACUUCGUGCCAGCAGCCGCGGUAAUACGAAGGGGGCUAGCGUUGUUCGGAAUUACUGGGCGUAAAGCGCACGU